GUGGCUGGCGGCUGGGUGCCUUCUACUGGUGCUGUGCAGAGGCUUUCCCUAAGGCUGCUGUGAGCCUGUAGGGUUUCCCCCAGGCUACUAAGCUGG
rnacentral:pre_miRNA from 1 species